CCAUAGAUUAAAGAACAAGUUCGUAUAUCCUCAAUAAUAUGGAUUGAGGGUCUCUACAAGGAACCAUAAAUUCCUGACUACGAAUAGGGUGCAUUCGCAU
rnacentral:ncRNA from 2 species